AGGGAAUAUUGCGCAAUGGGCGAAAGCCUGACGCAGCGACACCGUGUGAAGGAUGAAGGUCUUCGGAUCGUAAACUUCUGUCAAUUGGGGAAGAAGGUAAUAAGGUUAAUAGCCUUUAUUACUGACGGUACUCAAUAAGGAAGUCUCGGCUAACUCCGUGCCAGCAGCCGCGGUAAGACGGAGGAGGCAAGCGUUGUCCGGAAUCAUUGGGCGUAAAGAGCGCGUAGGCGGUUUUUCAAGUCGUAUGUGAAAACUUCAGGCUUAACCUGAUGAUUGCAUAUGAAACUGGAUAACUUGAGUACAGCAGAGGAAAGUGGAAUUCCUGGUGUAGCGGUGAAAUGUGCAGAUAUCAGGAAGAACACCAGUGGCGAAGGCGGCUUUCUGGGCUGUUACUGACGCUGAGGCGCGAAAGCUAGGGGAGCGAACAG
rnacentral:rRNA from 1 species